rnacentral:rRNA from 1 species
UACGUAGGGGGCAAGCGUUGUCCGGAUUUAUUGGGCGUAAAGAGCGUGUAGGCGGCCAUGUAGGUCCGUUGUGAAAACUCGAGGCUCAACCUCGAGACGCCGAUGGAAACCAUGUGGCUAGAGUCCGGAAGAGGAGAGUGGAAUUCCUGGUGUAGCGGUGAAAUGCGUAGAGCUCCGGAGGAACACCAGUGGCGAAGGCGGCCGCCUGGGCCAGUCCUGACGCUGAGCCGCGAAAGCGUGGGGAGCGAUCCGG